CGUACAAUUAAAAUAAUGGCUCGCUUCGUUGCGUGAAAAUAGCGAAAACAUCGCACGCGUCGGACGCGCCAUCUUUCAAUCGCGGACUGUACUAGACGGACUGUCGAAGACGCCGCGAACACGGCAUAAGGAUGACUCACGAGCAAAGGCGCCGCCAGCGACGACCGCGGUCCGCUCAGCGGCAAGACUUCAUGUGCGUGUUUAGAACGGUCCUGGUCACAAAUCCCUUUCCGCAGCGCGGGCAAACGUACGGCCGUUCGCCGGUGUGAUAGCGUUUGUGAACCACCAGCGUCGACCUCUGUGUGAACGCUUUGCCGCACUGAUCGCACGAGUACUUCCGUUCGCCCGUGUGCGUCACGUUGUGCGUUCUAAGGAGGGUCUCGCAGGCGAAACACUUGCCGCACACUUCGCACGUGUACGGUUUCUCGCCUGUGUGCGAACGAUUGUGGAUCUCCAGGCCCUUCGCGGUCUUCAGCUCCUUGCCGCAAAGGGCGCACAAGUAACGACGCCUCUCGUAAUUAGGCGUGUCGCCGUGAGCCUUCACCGUAUGUUGUUUCAGCACGGACUUGUAUUUGUAGACUUUGCCGCAGACGUCGCACUUGUGCAUCGAAGACUGUUGUUGGCCGGCCUCGUUCACGUUCUCCUGCAUCAAGGCCGCUGGGUCGUAAUGGUAGAGCCGAUUGUGCUCCUUCAAACUGUAUCAAUGCGAUUCGUUUAAAUUCGAGCCGUCGACGGUUUACCGGCUCCGUUUUGUUCGGUCUCCGGCUGUGAUUUCACGUGGAUCUUGCGGUGUUUCUUGAGGAAGCUUCCGGAGACGAAUCCCUUGCCGCAGUCGUCGCACCGAUAGGUCCUCUCUCCGGCAUGAUACCGCAAAUGCAAGAUCAAAGAGGUCCUCUGGGUGAACCUACGGCCGCACUGGGUGCAAGCGUGCGGCUUUUCGCCGGUGUGUAUGCGCUGAUGGAUACUUAAGUUCUCUUUGCUGGCGAACUGUUUGCCGCAGAGAUUGCACAUCGCGACCUUCUCGUUCGCGUGGCCACGCCUAUGCGCCAUCAGCCUCCUCUUCGAGGACAACACCGCGCCGCACAGGUCGCACAGAUGCUCGCUCUUCCGGCCGAAGCCGUGCUGCUUCCUCAAGUGCCUUCCGAGCAACAGCUUCUGCGCGAAGCUCUGCAAGCAGAUGCCGCAGACGUGUUUGUGCUCGGCCUUGCUCGUCGCCGAAUCCGCCGGCAGAACGUUCGCGUGCUGCAGCCUGAGAUGCGCCGUCAGGUUCUUCUUGUAUGGAUAAGACUUGCUGCAAUGCUCGCAUCGGUACAUCUGCUUCCUCGUGUGAACGUUCACGUGCUCCAGAUACUCUGUUUUCAGGAAGAAGCCUUUCUCGCAUUCCUCGCACUGGAACGAGUAUUCCUUCGUGUGCCUGCGCCGAUGGCACUCGAGGUUCGACUUCUGGUUCGACCGGUAGUCGCAUAAGUCGCAGGCGAACCUCUUCAGGCCUGUGUGGAUCAGCUUGUGUCGGGCGAUGUUCAUCGGGCUUCUGAAUGUUUUGCCGCAUUCGUCGCAGCUGAACGCUUUGUCGAUGCCGUGCAAGUUCUUCAGGUGCUCGACGAGCUUUCGCGUGUGGCAGAAACAGGCGCCGCAUUUCACGCACUCGUGGAUCGCCCGGGACGUUGACCGUCGUAUUCUGAAACACGGGUAUUCAUUUAAUUUUUAUCAUUCGGAAUUUCAUCGACGGUUCAAUUAUAUUUCACAAUUUUUGGAGCCUGAUUCUUGUUGCUUUCAUCUGAAAAUAACACGGCGAUCACAGUAGAGCUUUGUUUACAUCGCGGGCAUAAAUAAAAGAUUUGUUCGAUGUAA